GACGAAGAACGUAGCGAAAUGCGAUAAGUAAUGUGAAUUGCAGAAUUCAGUGAAUCAUCGAAUCUUUGAACGCACAUUGCGCCCGCCAGCAUUCUGGCGGGCAUGCCUGUUCGAGCGUCAUUUCAACCCUCGAGCCCCCCCGGGGGCCUCGGUGUUGGGGGACGGCACACCAGCCGCCCCCGAAAUGCAGUGGCGACCUCGCCGCAGCCUCCCCUGCGUAGUAGCACACACCUCGCACCGGAGCGCGGAGACGGUCACGCCGUAAAACGCCCAACUUCUUAGAGUUGACCUCGGAUCAGGUAGGAAUACCCGCUGAACUUAAGCAUAUCAAUAAGCGGAGGA
rnacentral:misc_RNA from 1 species